GACGAACGCUGGCGGCGUGCUUAACACAUGCAAGUCGAACGGAAAGGCCCUGCUUUUGUGGGGUGCUCGAGUGGCGAACGGGUGAGUAACACGUGAGUAACCUUCCCUUGACUUUGGGAUAACUUCAGGAAACUGGGGCUAAUACCGGAUAGGAGCUCCUGCUGCAUGGUGGGGGUUGGAAAGUUUCGGCGGUGGGGGGUGGACUCGCGGCUUAUCAGCUUGUUGGUUGGGUAGUGGCUUACCAAGGCUUUGACGGGUAGCCGGCCUGAGAGGGUGACCGGCCACAUUGGGACUGAGAUACGGCCCAGACUCCUACGGGAGGCAGCAGUGGGGAAUAUUGCACAAUGGGCGGAAGCCUGAUGCAGCAACGCCGCGUGCGGGAUGACGGCCUUCGGGUUGUAAACCGCUUUCGCCUGUGACGAAGCGUGAGUGACGGUAAUGGGUAAAGAAGCACCGGCUAACUACGUG
rnacentral:rRNA from 1 species